CCUACGGGUGGCAGCAGUGAGGAAUAUUGGUCAAUGGUCGCGAGUCUGAACCAGCCAAGCCGCGUGAGGGAGGAAGGCACUGAGUAUUGUAAACUGCUUUUGUCAGGGGGUAAACGCAGGGACGCGUAUCUGGCUGAGAGUAUCUGAAGAAUAAGCAUCGGCUAACUCCGUGCCAGCAGCCGCGGUAAUACGGAGGGUUCAAGCGUUAUCCGGAUUUAUUGGGUUUAAAGGGUGCGUAGGCGGUCGGAUAAGUUAGAGGUGAAAGCCCGAGGCUCAACCUCGGCAUCGCCUCUGAUACUGUUAGUCUAGAGUGUAGUGGCAGUAGGCGGAAUGUAUGGUGUAGCGGUGAAAUGCUUAGAGAUCACACAGAACUCCGAUUGUGAAGGCAGCAUACCAAGCUACUUCUGACGUUGAGGCACGAAAGCGUGGGUAGCAAACAGGAUUAGAUACCCGUGUAGUC
rnacentral:rRNA from 1 species